UACGUAGGUGACAAGCGUUGUCCGGAUUUACUGGGCGUAAAGAGCGCGCAGGCGGUCGUUCAAGUCGAGUGUGAAAGCCCCCGGCUCAACUGGGGAGGGUCAUUCGAUACUGAUCGACUCGUAGGCAGGAGAGGGAAGUGGAAUUCCCGGUGUAGUGGUGAAAUGCGUAGAUAUCGGGAGGAACACCAGUGGCGAAGGCGACUUCCUGGCCUGUUCUUGACGCUGAGGCGCGAAAGCUAGGGGAGCAAACGGG
rnacentral:rRNA from 1 species